rnacentral:rRNA from 1 species
AUUGAACGCUGGCGGCAGGCCUAACACAUGCAAGUCGAGCGAGCGGCGGACGGGUGAGUAAUGUAUGGGGACUGCCCGAUAGAGGGGGAUAACUACUGGAAACGGUGGCUAAUACCGCAUACUAUCGGAUAACCCAUAUGGGAUUAGCUAGUAGGUGGGGUCAAGGCUCACCUAGGCGACGAUCUCUAGCUGGUCUGAGAGGAUGAUCAGCCACACUGGGACUGAGACACGGCCCAGACUCAUACGGAGGCAGCAGUGGGGAAUAGUGCACAAUGGGCGCAAGUCUGAUGCAGCCACGCCGCGUGGAUGAAGAAGGCUUUCGGGUUGUAAAGUACUUUUGGCGGGGAGGCGUUACCAGAAGAAGAAGCACCGGCUAACUACGUGCCAGCAGCCGCGGUAAUAC